rnacentral:tRNA from 1 species
GCCCGGGUGGUGAAAUUGGUAGACACACCAUCUUGAGGGGGUGGCGCCGCGAGGCGUGCUGGUUCGAAUCCAGUCCCGGGCA